AGCUUUCAUUCUCAGAGAUGUCUUAACAUCGAGUCUCGAACAUGGAGACGCGACUUCACUCCGACUCCGACUCAAUCCAGUGGAGACGACACGGAGAGAGAGAGAGUCACACGCAAAAUAUCAUCAUACGCAGUUUCUCAUCUGUUUAUCACUGUAUAUAAAAAACACUGAUACACACUCUCACACGCUCACUCACACGCUCUCUCACUCACACACUCACACGCACACACACGCACUCACUCACACGCUCACACGCACAAUCACACACUCACUCACACGCUCUCUCACUCACACACUCACAUGCACAAUCACACACUCACUCACACGCACACACACUCACACACACACGCUCACAUGCUCACUCACUCACACACUCACACGCACAAUCACACACUCACUCACACGCUCACACACUCACACACACACGCUCACAUGCUCACUCACUCACACUCUCACACGCUCACUCACACGCUCUCUCACUCACACACUCACACGCACACACACGCACUCACUCACACGCUCACUCACACGCUCUCUCACUCACACACUCACACGCACAAUCACACACUCACUCACACGCACACACACUCACACACUCACACGCACACACACGCACUCACUCACACGCUCACACGCACAAUCACACACUCACUCACACGCUCACACGCUCACACACACACGCUCACACGCUCACUCACACGCUCUCUCACUCACACACUCACAAUCACACACUCACUCACACGCACACACACUCACACGCUCUCUCACUCACACACUCACACGCACAAUCACACACUCACACGCACACACACUCACACACACACGCUCACACGCUCACUCACGCUCUCUCACUCACACACUCACACACACUCACACGCACAAUCACACACUCACUCACACGCACACACACACUCACACACACACGCUCACACGCUCACUCACACGCUCUCUCACUCACACACUCACACGCACAAUCACACACUCACUCACACGCUCACACGCUCACACACACACGCUCACACGCUCACUCACACACUCACUCACACGCACACACACUCACACACACACGCUCACUCACACGCUCUCUCACUCACACACUCACACGCACAAUCACACACUCACUCACACGCACACACACUCACACACACACGCUCACACGCUCACUCACUCACACACUCACACGCACACUCUCACACGCUCACUCACACGCUCUCUCACUCACACACUCACACGCACACACACGCACAAUCACACACUCACUCACACGCACACACACUCACACACACACGCUCACACGCUCACUCACUCACACACUCACACACACACGCUCACACGCUCACUCACACGCUCUCUCACUCACACACUCACACGCACAAUCACACUCACUCACACGCACACACUCACACGCUCUCUCACUCACACACUCACACGCACAAUCACACACUCACUCACACGCACACACACUCACACACACACGCUCACACGCUCACUCACACACACACGCUCACACGCUCACUCACACGCUCUCUCACACACACACUCACACACACACGCUCACACGCUCACUCACAUGCUCACUCAAACACGCACACUCACACUCACACACGCCCACUCACACACACACACACGCUCACUCACACACUCUUGUUUGUUUUCAGAAAGUCAGAAAUGAGGCAGGUGUUUUUUUUAAAAAAUAUUUUUAAUUAAAGACCUCACAUCGAGCCUUGAAGACAUUUUCUGGUUAAAGCUAUGCAGAGGAAAACACGGCGGUAAAGACGAGCCGAUGCUUGCCAGCUAAUCUGCUAAUUACAGUCGCACACAGCAGAGUUAGCUUCAGAUCAUUUAAAAAAAAGAGAAAAUGUCCAGAAGGCGUAUAAAAAACAAAAAACAAAAUUAACGUGCUUGUGCGUGCAGGGAAACGUUCAGCAGAGUAACGUGUUACGAACAUCUGGAUAAAUUUUAAACAUUAACAUCACUGAUAAAAUACAUUCUAUCUUAUUCAUAAUAAUAAAAGAUCAGCGUCCUCCUCUUCCACUGGGAGCGACACGUUUAGCGUUAGUGCUAAUCUCAGCAUCAUUAAUAUCAGAAUCUCAGCUCAGAGUUAGCUUGAACCAGUCAAUAACCAACGACCCGAAGCCUUUAAAAUCCAUUCAACACAACUGCUUUCGUCUUCUGCCAAAACAGCAAUCACCUUCCACUUAGCCAUUAGCCAUUCAACCAUUUCACUCGGAACGUCACCGUCAGGCAAAGUUCUGACUUUAAAAACCAGCCGCUGAAUGAAGCAAGGCUCAGCUCGUCAUGUUCAGCAACACCGAGGUGCAGGAGCAGCGAACAGCUGGAGCUCAAAUCAACCGCCAAGAAAAACAACAACUCACUCACGCUAAUCCUUCCUGUGUAACACUGGUGCUCGAAAGUUUGUGAACCUGAAAAGUAGAUUAAAGAGAACCCAAUUUAACACACAAGACAAAAAUAUUAUACUUGAUCAUUUAUUUAUUGAGGAAAAUGAUCCAGUAUUACAUAUCUGUGAGGGGUAAAAGUAUGUGCACCUCUAGGAUUAUCAGUUAAUCUGAAGGUGAGAUUAGAGUCAGGAGUUUUCAGUCAGUGGGAUGAUGAUCAGGUGUGAGUGAGUGAGUGAGCGUCCUGUUUUAUUUAAAGAACAGGGAUCUAUCAGAGUCUGAUCUUCACAACACAUGUCUGUGGAAGUGUAUCAUGGCACGAACAAAGGAGAUUUCUGAAGACCUCAGAAGAAGAGUUGUUGAAGCUCAUCAGUGUGGAAAAGUUCACAGAACCAUCUCUAAAGAGUUUGGACUCCACCAAUCCACAGUCAGACAGAUUGUGUACAAAUGGAGGAAGUUCAACACCAUUGCUCCCUUCCCCAGGAGCGGAGACCAACAACGAUCACUCCAAGAGCAAGACGUUCAACAGUUACCCCAAAUGUUUAAGUUAUUGCUGCACAAGGGGGUCACACCACAUACUGAAAGCAAAGGUGCACAUACUUUUACCCCUCACAGAUCUGUAAUACUGGAUCAUUUUCCUCAAUAAAUAAAUGACCAGGUAUAAUAUUUUUGUCUCAUUUGUUUAAUCGAAUUCUCUUUAUCUACUUUUAGGACUUUUGGGUCAUAUUUAUGCAAAAAUGUAGAAAAAUUUUACAGGGUUCACAAACUUUCGAGCACCACUGUAUAUCAAGUUGCACAUGCAGAACUUUUUCUCCAGGUUUGGGGUUUUAUCUGAGCUGGUGUACGGUGUAUAUCUGACUGUUAUCUGCUUGAGAUCUGCUGAAAUAAAACGUCGGUGUGAGUAACGAUGAUAUAUCUUUCCCCAGGUAUGCGAACGACAUCCACUUCCACGAAGCAUGUCCCGGGAAUACCGUCCACCAGCACCACCACGUUCCCUCAUGCCCAAAAAGAUCCAACAGGGCAGGGUCACCUAGCAACAGCCCUCAUCAUCG